UCGGGUUUCCACGUAAAUUGGUGUGAACUCGCUGUCUCUCUUUUCAAUAAAUAUGAUAUAAGAGCUCAUGAAGCACAAAUGGGCAUUCAGUCCAAAAAUGAAAAUUUGAGUCUGAUUCAAGAAUAAAAUAGGCACCAACUUAAGGGAGCAUGUUAAGGAUCCCAAAUUGAAAAUCCCUAAUGUUUGAAGGAUACAUGAGUUACUCCUCUUGUUGCCAAUUGAUUUCUAGAUAGAAAUGCACAUCAUCUAAUAUAAUAUGGUAUGUGAGCAUGAGGUACUGCAUCCAAACAUCUAUUGUCCCUUCUUUCCCAACUAAAAUUGAUUUUCGCUUGUUGGAACUUUUACAAAUUUUCAGGCCAACAAGUGAGGGGUGAGUGAAGUAUUGAUAUAACAAAAUUUACUACAACCAUAGUUCUAGCAUUUGAGUCCAUCAGUGAUUUAACAAUUACAAUUUGGAGUUGCAAAUAUAAAGAUAAAGAAACAAAGCCCCCAACUUGAUUAUAAGCAUUAAAGUCCUUAGUUUAAAAAAAACUCAAAGGGAGCCUCUAGUAAGCAUGACCACUUCUCAAUUUGGAUGAAGUGUUGAUGCCGAACACGUGUCGAACACUGACACACCUCAACACGCGAGGAACACAUGUUAGACACACAAUUUUGCAUGUCUUUUUUCUUUAAAUCAGACACGCACGAGAAGAAUCCAAAAUCUUUAUCCUGAUUAUUUUUAAAAUUAAAAUAUAUAUAUACUAAAACUUGAAACCCUAAAAGACCCCACCUAUUGAUAACAUUGACCACAGCCUCCAUAAACAACAACAAACACCAGUUGUUGCUCGAACAUCUGCUACUCAUCGACGACUUCGCUUCUCACUAGGACUGUCGCAUCUCACCGGACGACCAUUGCAUCUCUUUAAGCGACUUGAACUUUGCAACUUCAUCUCCCCCAUGGAAAAGUGAAGGUCAUUGUCUUUUUUUUUUUUCAGUUUGUUCAAGUAUUUUUCAUUAUUAUUCUGUUUUUUUCAGUUCACAUUUCACGUUUUCUAAAAAAUUUCAAUCGCCAACUCUAUUGUGCAAGAAAUUCCUUCGUUUAGUGACACUUCCAAACUAACCACAACAAAUAUUGAGAAGAUUUUCGUCUUGUUUUUUAACCAUUCACAUUUUCUCUAUUAGAUGACAUCCUUUUUUUUAAGGAAGACAAGCCUCUUUAUUAAUAAUAAAUGAGACGAAUGCUCAAAGUACAAGAGUAGUAUACUAAGAGCAAAAUAAGAAAAAGACAAAGUCAUCUAAAUAAACUAAACAAAGAUGAACCCAGACAAAACAUAUGGGAAAAUUAGAUGACAUCUUCCUCGUUUACAUCUAACAAUAGUGGUCAAUCAUCAACGUUUCCUUCAAUAGCAACUACAUUCUCAUCCUCUAGUGUUGAAGAUGAGUCAAAACCACUCUGCCAAUAUGUCACCAGGAAUCAAAGAUUGACUCAGGGAGGUGAAAACAUAUCUUUGCAAUGUAACUUUUGUCAUUUCUCAAAGAAGAAUGCAUACACAAGGGUUAGAGCUCAUUUGUUAGGCUUGUGUUCUAAAGUUACCCUUCAAGAUAAGGCCAGCAUGCAUUAUCACAUAUAUUAUUAUUUAUAUAUAUUUAGUGUGCAUCUGUGUCCCCACAUACGUCUUUUUCUGGACAUUUCCAGAAAAAGACGUGUCGUCGUAUGACUCGUAUCAUGUCGGUCGUGUGUCCCAGCUGCUUAGGGAGGCCCAAACAACCCCCUCCCAAUGUUCCCUACAACUCUAAAGACUCUUUUAUUUCUCUCCAAAUAAAUGUUUCAAAAGAUAUAAAAAAUUGAAGAAGUGUUUGCCAAAGUGUUGCCCCUAUCCCGUAAGAAGGGUGAAAUAAAACCUCCUCCGCACCUCCAAAACCUAUGUUGGAAAUUUAUACGAGAUAUAAAUAAAUAAGGAAUAAACCAAAUUAUAUCUCAAACUCCCACUUAAAAGGUUAGAGCCAACUAAAUAAUUGAUCAUAAAAUUGUAAAAAAAUAAAGAAAAGGGAAAAAAGAGUACAACACCAAGAAAUAUAUUGAUUCGCUCAGAACUUGGGACUAUGUCCAAUAUUCUCCAGCUGCUAGUUCUACUAUGACGGAUGUUGCAAAGAACCCCCAAACUCGCUCUACAAAUUUUUUCCAAACAGCACAACACGAACUAUUUGGUUAUCAGUAUCACAACCCAAUAUCUUAGAAUAAACAAUAAGAGGAACUCUCAACCCAAGAAUAAUACUCUCUGUAUUUUUUCAACUCUGCUCACUGUCAUUAUAUAAAUGUUGAAAAGAAUCAAUAACCUCUAGCUCUUGGGGUUAUUCUCCUCGCGGCGCACUUGAUUUUUUUAAUUCUAGUUUUCAUCUUUUAAAGUUGAUUCCACCGUCUAUAAUUUUACUUUAAUCAUAACUCACCUCCAAAAUUUACCAAUAGAAGUUGCCUCAUCUUAAAUCACCAAUUGACCCAAAAGCUUAAGUUGAUGGAUAAAGACAAAUUUAAUAUAAUAUUUAACAUUCCCCUUCACUUGUGGGCUUGAGGUAUGAAGAAAGGCCCAACAAGUGGAAAUUAAUAUUAUUUUAGGAGAAAAUAACAUUGUGGUUUGAACCUAGGACAUCUGAAGCAACCUGCUCAGAUACCAUCUUAAAUACCAAUUGACCCAAAAGCUUAAACUAAUGGGUGAACACAAAUUUAAUAUAAUAUCUAACACCACUUUAUAGAAGUUAAUUAAAAGAGAUUCUCACACGAGUGGCUUUUCACUUGGAGCUCCACAAUUUCACCCAGGUGGCUUUUCAGUGAGUUGACUUUUACUAUUUGACAUUCACUAUUUUUUUACCCUUUGCUACAGUGUUUACUAUUUCCUUAUCAAACGAAAUUAGUCUACACACCAAACACAUACUAUUAUAUUCCAAACUAAAAUAAUCUACACCUCAAAUACAAACUAGGAUAGUCAAACUAUAAUAACUCACUUCUUGCCCCAAACACCCCUUGAGGGUUUUCCAUUGAUCAAAAGGAAAAUAUUAGCCACAAUUAUGGAUCUUGGAUCUCUAUUUCAUUCAAAAUCCUCUCUAUACACACUUUAACAAGGAAACCUUAUCCAAAAGAUCAUAAACUUUCACAAAAUCAAUCUUGGAAAUAACACCCUCCAAUUUAUAAAAGUAAUAAAAUUUUGGCUAGCACCUUUGCAAUUAUCUUAUAUAAGCUAGUGACAGGGCAGGCCAGUGGGUACCAACCACAAUUAUUUAGAUAAGAAGUACCAGCCCAGCUUACAUUUUUCAAAAGUAUCCUUUUAUCUCACCAAUUAAUCAUUUGCUAUUACUCAACAUAUCAGACUGAUUUGCUAUUACAAUAAUUCUAGCUCUCUGGCUGUAGUACAAUUAAAAGAGUCCACUCAGGCCUAUCUUACAAAGUAUGACCAACAUGAAACAUUUUUUUAGCUAACAAACACAUAAUAGGCAAAGGAACGACAUACAAGCUGUCAGUUACAUUUUGGUAGUGGGUUUUUCUUUUUUUUUUUUUUUUUUUUUUGGGGGGGGGGGGGGGGGGGGGAAGAACAUAGGUUGGAUGGCGAUAGAAUAAAUGUAGAUCAGGAUUUCCAUUACCAGUCAGCGGUAGUUCAAGAAUUACAGUAAAAUAAUUGUAUUCAUUCCUAUAUACUUUGAUGUUGAUGAAUUUUUUAUGUCAUCUAAGAUUCUGAAAGAUUAAUAAUAGAAUCACAUUGAACGGCUACACAAAAUUCACAUCAACAAGUGUGGAUUCGAGCAAGAUCAGAAAACACUUGGGUCUGUUAGAGAUACUUUGAUGUUGAUGAAUUUUUUUAUGUCAUCUAAGAUUCUGAAAGAUUAAUAAUAGAAUCACAUUGAACGGCUACACAAAAUUCACAUCAACAAGUGUGGAUUCGAGCAAGAUCAGAAAACACUUGGGUCUGUUAGAGAUACUGGUGGGUCGUCCAACAAAAAUCGUUAAGCAAUAAAAACAUAACUAAUGGCAAUACCUAAAUUGCAAAACACAAGAAUAUUAAGCCAGACAAGGUCGUCAUAAAAAUUCUACAGGUAUAAAAAUGGAAACUUAUUUCCAAACCAUACGCUUUCCUUUCCUACCAUUGAACUCACAAUAACAGUUACAAUUUUCAGCAGGCUACUUGAAAUUUCUUCCUAUAUGAUGACGAUUCCUUCCAUUAUGUGAUUGUGACUUGGCCACCAAUUCUAUAGUCAGCAAAAACACAAAAAGGUCCAAAUAAAUAAAUAUUGCUACAGGUACCUUUUAUUUCACACCAACUUUCGUGGUGGCCAACCAUCCACAGCCCGUGCUUUCACCUAGCAUAACAAUAAAGUUCCAUAGAUAAUGAGUAAUGAUUGGACAGGUUGAUUUUGCAGUUACUUUUUAAGAAACCAACUGAUAUGUAGAAAAUAGGUUGGAUACAUUGUUCCUGGAGCUACAGUGUGCUAGAAAAUCAAACAACUAAUCAUGCAUUUGAAAUACAUAAAAACACGUACGCUUAGAAUAUUUUACACAGCGCGUCCAAAUUCUAAAUAAAACAGAAGGAAACACGAAAACAGUUCAUCUGAGAAUCAUCCGAUGCCAGAACUCCAGCCAUGCAUCCAUUAGAUACAAGAAAUUCAGCUUCCAAGUUCCAUUAAAAAAUACAGUACACACAACAACCAAAUAUAUAAAGAUAAUCUACAACGUACGAAAGGCAGCUGAACCACACCACGGAGGAACUCAUAACACCGUAUCAACCUAUACAAAUCAGAAAUGAGAAGAUAUAUAAGUGAGGAAAAAACCGGCAUUACCUGGACCGCAAACCUCCAUGAUCAAUAAAAGAAAAUGAUCUCGAGCCUUCGAAUCGGGAACCGCCGUAGAUGAUACAGAACAAGAAACAACAAAUCAGAAACCGACGAAGAAAUCCAACGAGAAAAGUUGAAAAGGGAAAUCUGGAGAGGCGAAGGAUUUUUCCAUAGGUGUUUCAGCUUUGUUGUUUCCCGCGGAUUGAGAGGGGAGGAAUCAAAAAGGUCGCGGCGGGAGGAGAGAGAAGAAAAUAUCUCGGGCAAUUCGGGUGAAAUGAAAAAAAAAAAAAAAUGUAUGAGUUAGGAUCGUGUGGAAGCGAGGACACGUAAAGAGAAUGGGAUGGGCAGGGGUUUGGGAAUUUUAGAUGGCGUAGUUG